GUGCCAGCCGCCGCGGUAAUACGGAGGGGGCUAGCGUUAUUCGGAAUUACUGGGCGUAAAGCGCGCGUAGGCGGACUGGAAAGUCAGAGGUGAAAUCCCAGGGCUCAACCUUGGAACUGCCUUUGAAACUCCCAGUCUUGAGGUCGAGAGAGGUGAGUGGAAUUCCGAGUGUAGAGGUGAAAUUCGUAGAUAUUCGGAGGAACACCAGUGGCGAAGGCGGCUCACUGGCUCGAUACUGACGCUGAGGUGCGAAAGCGUGGGGAGCAAACAGGAUUAGAAACCCUAGUAGUCC
rnacentral:rRNA from 1 species